rnacentral:rRNA from 1 species
GACGAACGCUGGCGGCGUGCUUAACACAUGCAAGUCGAACGAUGAAGCCGGAGCUUGCUCUGGUGAAUUAGUGGCGAACGGGUGAGUAACACGUGAGUAACCUGCCCUUGACUCUGGGAUAACUGCUAGAAAUGGUAGCUAAUACCGGAUACGACCCUCGGCGGCAUCGCCAGGGGGUGGAAAGAAUUUCGGUCAAGGAUGGACUCGCGGCCUAUCAGCUAGUUGGUGAGGUAACGGCUCACCAAGGCGACGACGGGUAGCCGGCCUGAGAGGGUGACCGGCCACACUGGGACUGAGACACGGCCCAGACUCCUACGGGAGGCAGCAGUGGGGAAUAUUGCACAAUGGGCGCAAGCCUGAUGCAGCAACGCCGCGUGAGGGAUGACGGCCUCGGUUGUAACCGACUUCUAGCCGGAAGAAUACGCCAAGGCGUAAUAUACCUUGGUGGAGUGACGGUACCGGAA